rnacentral:rRNA from 1 species
UACCAGCACCCCGAGUGGUCGGGACGAUUAUUGGGCCUAAAGCAUCCGUAGCCGGUUCUACAAGUCUUCCGUUAAAUCCACCUGCUUAACAGAUGGGCUGCGGAGGAUACUAUAGAGCUAGGAGGCGGGAGAGGCAAGCGGUACUUAGUGGGUAGGGGUAAAAUCCGUUGAUCCAUUGAAGACCACCAGUAGCGAAGGCGGCUUGCCAGAACGCACUCGACGGUGAGGGAUGAAAGCUGGGGGAGCAAACCGG